rnacentral:lncRNA from 1 species
AGAAGAAGACUAGGUCUGUCAAGGCUAUACAGAAACUGUCCAACACUUGGACUUUGCACUGUUGCUGAAUGUGGUUAUUAGCUCCGAGAGUUUUUUUUUUAAUAUUUUGGGGUUUUCUUUAUAAAGGAUAGAUCAUCUACAAAUACUUCUUGCUUUUCAAUUUAGAUGAUGUUUCCUUUCCUGCCCAAUUUAUCUGGUUAAAACGUCUGAUACACUGUUGAAUAGAAGAGGCAAGGGCACAUGUUCAUGUCUUGUUCCUGAUAUUGGGAGAAAGCAUCCCGUUUUUCACCACUCUGGCCAGGACAGCCUAUCUGUGCAGGAGGCAUUGCUGGCACCCCGUGGGGACUGAGGACCAAGGAGGAGCUGCUCCCCCACACACGGUUCGUACUUCUGCUCUGUGAAGAGAGACAACUGUGCCCUGUCACCUUCACUGAACUAUGAGGUGUGUCCUGAUGCUGUGCAUGACAUCUUGGGUUUGCAGAACUGUUCACUCUCUCCCUGGAUUUAAAAUGAGUUCAAAUUAUAAGACCUUCAUUUUAUUGGUAAUAUAUUAAAAUUUGGGGGAAAGAACUAGUUUUAAAACUUUCUAUUAAGCCUAAAGUAGUGGCAAAUUUCAUAAUUAGAUUGCACAAUAUUGGAUAGCUUAAAAAUUUCAAAAUUGCCAAUUUGUUACUUGUCUGUAUUUGAUGUAUACUGUAAAAUACAAAAUGCACUUUAUGUUUUCCAUCGUGCAA